ensembl:lncRNA
CUUGGAAAAUCCCAUGGAUGGAGGAGCCUGGUAGGCUGUAGUCCAUGGGGUCGCUAAGAGUCGGACACGACUGAGCGACUUCCCUUUCACUUUUCACUUUCAUGCAUUGGAGAAGGAAAUGGCAACCCACUCCAGUGUUCUUGCCUGGAGAAUCCCAGGGACAGGGGAGCCUGGUGGGCUUCCGUCUAUGGGGUCGCACAGAGUCAGACACGACUGAAGCAACUUAGCAGCAAUAGCAGCAGCAUUGACUUUUCUAUUGGCUAAAUAGUUUUGAGGUUAAAUUAUAGUGUUCAUGGUUCUCCAGCCUUUCUAUGAUUUGCAGUGGGGAAGGAAUAACUUUGGCGUUCCUUAGGUGUGACUCUCCAUAACUAAGAAGCUCUAAAUUGCAGUCUCAAGAGCAGUUAGAAAUUCUCAAAAAAAUGUCAUCUGGUCCAGCAGGUUCAUUUUCCUGAAUUGCAUUUCCAAAAGUGGGUGCAGUUUAGGUUAAUGACAGUCUUUGCUCCUGACUCAGCUGCUUGCCUAUUUUCCUGUUCUCUUUGUUGGAAUGACUAUACCUGUCAGGGUUGCACAAUAUGUUCAUGACCCAGUUAAGCCAGGACGAGGUGGUUUAUUUUUUAACUGCCUCUGUGCUAUUCCUGUUAAUCGUAACCCUGCCAAAUGAGCCAGGCCUAGACUGUAUGUUUAGUUCAGGAACUUUGGCAACAGAAACCAUGCUAACCUUUGAAAAUUUGUUGGGAUUCAACAGGGGACUCAUGGAGCCCAAGAACUGGGCCUCAAGAAGAACCAGAACCAGGCUGGAGGGCACCAGCAGCACAAGGAGGGCUGUUUCUCAACCCUGCCUCAUUCUUUCUAGACCAACCGGGCUUCCUGGCCCAAAGAUGGCUGCUCACAGCUCCAACUUCAAGUGUAACUUCCGGAUGUACAGAAUGCUUCUGUCUAGGUCCCAUAUGGCGCAGUGGUAAAGAAUCUGCCGUCAAUGCAGGAGACAUGGGUUCAAUCCGACUGGUGGCAACCCACUCCAGUAUUCUUGCCUGGGAAAUCCCAUGGACAGAGGAGCCUGGUGGGCUUCAGUCUAUGGCUUCUCAAAAGAGUUGGACACGAUUUAGCUACUAAACAACAACGAAAUGCAUGUGAAGCCAUGGGAAUAAAUGAGGUGGUUGAGAGCAAGAGUGAAUGGUGAGAAGGUGCCAAGACACACCCUGUCAAAUACCAACAUUCAGAGCCCAGUGAGAGAAGUAGAAG